rnacentral:rRNA from 1 species
GAUGAACGCUGGCGGCGUGCCUAAUACAUGCAAGUCGAGCGAACGGACGAGAAGCUUGCUUCUCUGAUGUUAGCGGCGGACGGGUGAGUAACACGUGGAUAACCUACCUAUAAGACUGGGAUAACUUCGGGAAACCGUAGCUAAUACCGGAUAAUAUUUUGAACCGCAUGGUUCAAAAGUGAAAGACGGUCUUGCUGUCACUUAUAGAUGGAUCCGCGCUGCAUUAGCUAGUUGGUAAGGUAACGGCUUACCAAGGCAACGAUGCAUAGCCGACCUGAGAGGGUGAUCGGCCACACUGGAACUGAGACACGGUCCAGACUCCUACGGGAGGCAGCAGUAGGGAAUCUUCCGCAAUGGGCGAAUGCCUGACGGAGCAACGCCGCGUGAGUGAUGAAGGUCUUCGGAUCGUAAAACUCUGUUAUUAGGGAAGAACAUAUGUGUAAGUAACUGUGCACAUCUUGACGGUACCUAAUCAGAAAGCCACGGCUAACUACGUG